GUGUAGCUCAAUUGGUUAGAGUGUGAUGCUAAUAAUGCCGAUGUUGUGAGUUUAAUCCCCAUAUGGGCCA